GACGAACGCUGGCGGCGUGCUUAACACAUGCAAGUCGAGCGGAAAGGCCCUUCGGGGUACUCGAGCGGCGUACGGGUGAGUAACACGUGAGUAACCUGCCCCAGACUUUGGGAUAACCCUCGGAAACGGGGGCUAAUACCGGAUACGACACAGCUUCGCAUGGGGUCUGUGUGGAAAGUUUUUCGGUUUGGGAUGGGCUCGCGGCCUAUCAGCUUGUUGGUGGGGUGAUGGCCUACCAAGGCGACGACGGGUAGCCGGCCUGAGAGGGCGACCGGCCACACUGGGACUGAGACACGGCCCAGACUCCUACGGGAGGCAGCAGUGGGGAAUAUUGCACAAUGGGCGGAAGCCUGAUGCAGCGACGCCGCGUGAGGGAUGACGGCCUUCGGGUUGUAAACCUCUUUCAGCAGGGACGAAGCGUAAGUGACGGUACCUGCAGAAGAAGCGCCGGCCAACUACGUG
rnacentral:rRNA from 1 species